GUCUCAGCAUCAGAGGAGCCAGGAGGAGGACCCUCCCGAUCCCAGCUAAUGAGACUGGACAAUAUGCUUUUGGCAGAAGGGGUUUCAGGUCCUGAGAAAGGUGGGGGAUCGGCGGCAGCAGCUGCAGCCGCGGCAGCUCUGGAGGUUCUUCAGAUAACUCUAUUGAACACUCAGAUUACAG
rnacentral:sRNA from 1 species